rnacentral:rRNA from 1 species
CCUACGGGAGGCAGCAGUGAGGAAUAUUGGUCAAUGGACGAGAGUCUGAACCAGCCAAGUAGCGUGAAGGAUGACUGCCCUAUGGGUUGUAAACUUCUUUUAUAUGGGAAUAAAACGUUCCACGUGUGGGAUUUUGUAUGUACCAUAUGAAUAAGGAUCGGCUAACUCCGUGCCAGCAGCCGCGGUAAUACGGAGGAUCCGAGCGUUAUCCGGAUUUAUUGGGUUUAAAGGGAGCGUAGGUGGAUUGGUAAGUCAGUUGUGAAAGUUUGCGGCUCAACCGUAAAAUUGCAGUUGAAACUGGCAGUCUUGAGUACAGUAGAGGUAGGCGGAAUUCGUGGUGUAGCGGUGAAAUGCUUAGAUAUCACGAAGAACUCCGAUGGCGAAGGCAGUUCACUGGACUGCAACUGACACUGAGGCUCGAAAGUGUGGGUAUCAAACAGGAUUAGAUACCCUGGUAGUC